GCACUGCUCAUUUUGGUUGCCCUUGGUGGGUUGUCUUGGCUGGAUGCAGGAUCCUUCGGAGAGGAGCCCCCGUGGAAGUGCAUGGGUCCCCCUGCAAAGUCAGCAUGGGAGGCUCGUGGGCCCGCAGCAGGGACAGCCGUGGCUCACACCCACUGGGGCAAAGGAGAUCACAGGAAACACGAAAAUUCAAACACAGAAAGGGAAAGCAAUAAGGAACAUCGCCCUCAGCUUUUCCACCUCUUGGGAGAGCCACACUUUCUCCUGGAUCCAGUUAGUGGCCAUAGGCUGCAGUCGGGGUUCAGCUGACCUGCUAGGGUCUCUUGGAGCACCUUCGUCUCUGUCUCCGCACGCCAAAGUGAGCGAGUAAGCUGGGUCACCUCUUCUCUAAGGCUGAUGAGCUCGCCACUCUGGUCUAUCUGCUCUAGUAUCUUCUCGUUCUGCUGUUGUAUCACUUCCUGGAGCUCCUUUUCAUUCUUGUAGCGCAAGCACAAGGCCUGGUUCAGCUUCUCUAUGUCUGCCUCCUUGGCCUUCUGGGCUUCCUGAUGCUGUUCUUCUGGGCCUGUAGCCUAGCCUGCAGAUCACAGACCUUUCUCUGCAGAGUCCUGACAAUUUCUUCUUUAGACUCUUGCAGCAGGGAACGCAGGCUUUGAAGCUCCAGAGCCAGGCUCUUCUCCAUGCCUGGGGUCUCUGUAGGCUGAAGACAAACCAUUGAUGCUACUUGGGUGAAAGCACUCUUGUCACUCUAUAUUGAACAAGAACAAUAGAGUCAUGAAACAUUUCUAUUUUUUUCCCUAAGUUCUAAAACAUUAAUACAUUUAAGUUUUAUAGCACUCAUUUAUUUGUAUCUUGCC
rnacentral:lncRNA from 12 species